AGUGAACGCUGGCGGUAGGCCUAACACAUGCAAGUCGAACGGCCGCACAGUAAGAUCUUGCUCCUACGGGUGGCGAGUGGCGGAUGGGUGAGGAAUACAUCGGCAUCUACUUUUUCGUGGGGGACAACGUAGGGAAACUUACGCUAAUACCGCAUACGACCUACGGGUGAAAGCAGGGGAUCUUCGGACCUUGCGCGAUUGAAUGAGCCGGUGUCGGAUUAGCUAGUUGGCUGGGUAAAGGCCCACCAAGGCGACGCUCCGUAGCUGGUCUGAGAGGGUGAUCAGCCACACUGGAACUGAGACACGGUCCAGACUCCUACGGGAGGCAGCAGUGGGGAAUAUUGGGCAAUGGGCGCAAGCCUGAUCCAGCCAUGCCGCGUGGGUGAAGAAGGCCUUCGGGUUGUAAAGCCCUUUUGUUGGGAAAGAAAAGCAGCGGAUUAAUACCCCGCUGUUCUGACGGUACCCAAAGAAUAAGCACCGGCUAACUUCGUG
rnacentral:rRNA from 1 species